GACGAACCGUGCGAACGUUAUUCGGAAUCACUGGGCUUAAAGCGCGUGUAGGCGGGGUGGCACGUCCGGCGCUGAAAUCCCCCGGCUCAACCCUGAAUCGGCCGUCGAUACUCCCGGGCUUGAGCACUGUAGAGGCAGAUGGAAUUCCGGGUGUAGCGGUGGAAUGCGUAGAGAUCCGGAAGAACACCGGUGGCGAAGGCGGUCUGCUGGGCAGUAGCUGACACUGAGGCGCGACAGCGUGGGGAGCAAACAGG
rnacentral:rRNA from 1 species